UUCCCGGUGUAGCGGUGAAAUGCGUAGAUAUCGGGAAGAACACCAGUGGCGAAGGCGCUCUGCUGGGCCAUUACUGACGCUCAUGGACGAAAGCCAGGGGAGCGAAAGGGAUUAGAUACCCCUGUAGUCCUGGCCGUAAACGAUGAACACUAGGUGUCGGGGGAAUCGACCCCUUCGGUGUCGUAGCUAACGCGUUAAGUGUUCCGCCUGGGGAGUACGCACGCAAGUGUGAAACUCAAAGGAAUUGACGGGGGCCCGCACAAGCGGUGGAGUAUGUGGUUUAAUUCGAUGCAACGCGAAGAACCUUACCAGGGUUUGACAUCCUGCGAACCUCUUAGAAAUUUGAGGGUGCCUUCGGGAAUGCAGUGACAGGUGGUGCAUGGCUGUCGUCAGCUCGUGUCGUGAGAUGUUGGGUUAAGUCCCGCAACGAGCGCAACCCACGUUUUUAGUUGCCAGCAUUUAGUUGGGCACUCUAGAAAGACCGCCGGUGAUAAACCGGAGGAAGGUGUGGAUGACGUCAAGUCAUCAUGCCCCUUACACCCUGGGCUACACACGUACUACAAUGCCACGGACAAAGGGCAGCAAACUCGCGAGAGCUAGCAAAUCCCAUAAACCGUGGCUCAGUUCAGAUCGUAGGCUGCAACUCGCCUACGUGAAGUAGGAAUCGCUAGUAAUCGCAGGUCAGCAUACUGCGGUGAAUACGUUCCCGGGCCUUGUACACACCGCCCGUCACACCAUGGAAGUUGGCCAUGCCCGAAGUCGUUACUCCAACCCUUGUGGAGGAGGACGCCGAAGGUGGGGCUAAUGACUGGGGUGAAGUCGUAACAAGGUAGCC
rnacentral:rRNA from 1 species